rnacentral:rRNA from 1 species
UACGGGGGGAGCAAGCGUUGUUCGGAUUUACUGGGCGUAAAGGGCGCGUAGGCGGCCACCGCAAGUCGACUGUGAAAUCUCCGGGCUUAACUCGGAAAGGUCAGCCGAUACUGCGGGGCUAGAGUGCAGAAGGGGCAACUGGAAUUCUCGGUGUAGCGGUGAAAUGCGUAGAUAUCGAGAGGAACACCAGUGGCGAAGGCGAGUCCCUGGACAGGUCCUGACGCUGAGGCACGAAAGCUAGGGGAGCAAACAGG